rnacentral:rRNA from 1 species
UUUGGAAUUUUGGACAAUGGGCGAAAGCCUGAUCCAGCGACGCCGCGUGGACGAUGAAGGCCUUCGGGUUGUAAAGUCCUUUUGUUAGGGAACAAUUUUUGAGCGUACCUAACGAAUAAGAGGUUGCUAACUCUGUGCCAGCAGCAGCGGUAAUACAGAGACCUCAAGCGUUAUCCGGAAUCAUUGGGCGUAAAGCGUACCGAUAGGUGGUUUAGAAAGUCAGAUGUGAAAUUCCAAGGCUCAACCUUGGGACUGUCAUUUGAAACUUCUAAACUAGAGGGGCAAAGAGGAAGCUGGAACGAACGGUGUAGUAGUGAAAUGCGUUGAUAUCGUUCGGAACACCAAUAGCGAAGGCGGGCUUCUGGGUGCCACCUGACACUGCUAGGACGAAAGCGUGGGG